rnacentral:rRNA from 1 species
CGCUUACUCGGGGAUAGCCUUUCGAAAGAAAGAUUAAUACCCGAUAGCAUAAUGAUUCCGCAUGGUUUCAUUAUUAAAGGAUUCCGGUAAAGGAUGGGGAUGCGUUCCAUUAGGUUGUUGGUGAGGUAACGGCUCACCAAGCCUUCGAUGGAUAGGGGUUCUGAGAGGAAGGUCCCCCACAUUGGAACUGAGACACGGUCCAA